AUUGAACGCUGGCGGCAGGCUUAACACAUGCAAGUCGAGCGAGCGGCGGACGGGUGAGUAAUGUCUGGGAAACUGCCUGAUGGAGGGGGAUAACUACGGGAAACGGUAGCUAAUACCGCGUACCAUAGGAUGAGCCCAGAUGGGAUUAGCUAGUUGGUGGGGUAAAGGCUCACCAAGUCGACGAUCCCUAGCUGGUCUGAGAGGCUGACCCGCCACACGGGGACUGAGACACGGUCCAGACGCCUACGGGAGGCAGCAGUGGGGAAUAUUGCGCAAUGGGCGCAAGCCUGAUGCAGCCAUGCCGCGUGUGUGAAGAAGGCCUGCGGGUUGUAAAGCACUUUCAGCGAGGAGGCGUUACUCGCAGAAGAAGCACCGGCUAACUCCGUGCCAGCAGCCGCGGGAAUAC
rnacentral:rRNA from 1 species